UACGUAGGUGGCAAGCGUUGUCCGGAUUUACUGGGCGUAAAGAGCGCGCAGGCGGUCGUUCAAGUCGCGUGUGAAAGCCCCCGGCUCAACUGGGGAGGGUCACGCGAUACUGAUCGACUGGAAGGCAGGAGAGGGUAGUGGAAUUCCCGGUGUAGUGGUGAAAUGCGUAGAUAUCGGGAGGAACACCAGUGGCGAAGGCGGCCUUCUGGUCCAGUACUGGACACUCAAGUGCGAAAGCGUGGGGAGCAAACAGGG
rnacentral:rRNA from 1 species